AAAUUGAAGAGUUUGAUCAUGGCUCAGAUUGAACGCUGGCGGCAGGCCUAACACAUGCAAGUCGAACGGUAACAGGAAACAGCUUGCUGUUUCGCUGACGAGUGGCGGACGGGUGAGUAAUGUCUGGGAAACUGCCUGAUGGAGGGGGAUAACUACUGGAAACGGUAGCUAAUACCGCAUAACGUCGCAAGACCAAAGAGGGGGACCUUCGGGCCUCUUGCCAUCGGAUGUGCCCAGAUGGGAUUAGCUAGUAGGUGGGGUAACGGCUCACCUAGGCGACGAUCCCUAGCUGGUCUGAGAGGAUGACCAGCCACACUGGAACUGAGACACGGUCCAGACUCCUACGGGAGGCAGCAGUGGGGAAUAUUGCACAAUGGGCGCAAGCCUGAUGCAGCCAUGCCGCGUGUAUGAAGAAGGCCUUCGGGUUGUAAAGUACUUUCAGCGGGGAGGAAGGGAGUAAAGUUAAUACCUUUGCUCAUUGACGUUACCCGCAGAAGAAGCACCGGCUAACUCCGUGCCAGCAGCCGCGGUAAUACGGAGGGUGCAAGCGUUAAUCGGAAUUACUGGCGUAAAGCGCACGCAGGCGGUUUGUUAAGUCAGAUGUGAAAUCCCCGGGCUCAACCUGGGAACUGCAUCUGAUACUGGCAAGCUUGAGUCUCGUAGAGGGGGUAGAAUUCCAGGUGUAGCGGUGAAAUGCGUAGAGAUCUGGAGGAAUACCGGUGGCGAAGGCGGCCCCCUGGACGAAGACUGACGCUCAGGUGCGAAAGCGUGGGGAGCAAACAGGAUUAGAUACCCUGGUAGUCCACGCCGUAAACGAUGUCGACUUGGAGGUUGUGCCCUUGAGGCGUGGCUUCCGGAGCUAACGCGUUAAGUCGACCGCCUGGGGAGUACGGCCGCAAGGUUAAAACUCAAAUGAAUUGACGGGGGCCCGCACAAGCGGUGGAGCAUGUGGUUUAAUUCGAUGCAACGCGAAGAACCUUACCUGGUCUUGACAUCCACAGAACUUUCCAGAGAUGGAUUGGUGCCUUCGGGAACUGUGAGACAGGUGCUGCAUGGCUGUCGUCAGCUCGUGUUGUGAAAUGUUGGGUUAAGUCCCGCAACGAGCGCAACCCUUAUCCUUUGUUGCCAGCGGUCCGGCCGGGAACUCAAAGGAGACUGCCAGUGAUAAACUGGAGGAAGGUGGGGAUGACGUCAAGUCAUCAUGGCCCUUACGACCAGGGCUACACACGUGCUACAAUGGCGCAUACAAAGAGAAGCGACCUCGCGAGAGCAAGCGGACCUCAUAAAGUGCGUCGUAGUCCGGAUUGGAGUCUGCAACUCGACUCCAUGAAGUCGGAAUCGCUAGUAAUCGUGGAUCAGAAUGCCACGGUGAAUACGUUCCCGGGCCUUGUACACACCGCCCGUCACACCAUGGGAGUGGGUUGCAAAAGAAGUAGGUAGCUUAACCUUCGGGAGGGCGCUUACCACUUUGUGAUUCAUGACUGGGGUGAAGUCGUAACAAGGUAACCGUAGGGGAACCUGCGGUUGGAUCACCUCCUUA
rnacentral:rRNA from 1 species